rnacentral:rRNA from 1 species
AUGGAGGCCGAGCUCCGAAACGCCGUACACCACAUCAGGGGCAAAAUCAUCCUUUCUAGGUGUCGUUUAACACUGUUAAUACUAGUCUUUGCUCUAAAGAUUGACAUGAUGAAAGCCUACGAUCGGGUGGAGUGGAGCUACCUCCAUGGUUGCUUGAGCAGACUUGGUUUUGCCCCGUCUUGGAUUGCUACGGUUAUGAGGUGUGUCACAAUUGUCAGAUAUGUUGUCAGAGUUAAUGGGGAGCUCACAACCCCGGUGGUGCCCUCUCGAGGCAUCCAUCAAGGGGAUCCGAUCAGCCCAUACCUUUUCCUCUUGUGCACUAAAGGUUUGUCUGGUCUGUUACUUGACAAGGAGAAUCGUGGCGAGCUACAUGGGAUUCGUAACGGGCGUCAUGGCCCAUCUAUCUCACAUCUCCUUUUUGUGGAUGAUAGCAUCUUCUUUGCUAAGAGUGACAAUCAGAGUGUGUGCGCGUUGGAGGCUACCCUCAACUCCUACUGUGCCGGUUCGGGCCAAGCUAUCAAUAAGGACAAGUCCUCGCUGUUCUUUGGCAACCACUGUCCUGAUCUUGUCAAGAACAGAGUGAAGAACCAGUUGGGUAUUUACAAUGAGACGUUGUUAAGGCAUAUCUCUCUCGAUGUAGUUUUGGUGACUGAUGACAACACAUUUGCGGACUAA